rnacentral:rRNA from 1 species
GUCUGCAAUUAUACCAGCACUAAUGCACCGGAUUCCAUCAAAACUUUGAAGUUAAGUGUGUUUGGGCGAGAAUAGUACUUAGGAUGGAUAACCUCCUGGGAAGUCCUCAUGUUACAUCCC